GGUUUUAUGUGAAUAUUUAAUUAUUGGUCAUGCGUGAUGUUUUGUUCAAAGCAGAUCAGCCAACCAUAUAAAGGACAGAUAAAACUGACCCUCAUCUCAGGCUUAAGGGUCAAUUAAUGCAAUUUUUCAAAAGCUUCUUUUGAAGUAUGCAACCCUGAUGUCUUGAUGGGCACAAUCACAUGGAAGUAAUGUAAUAUUAAAUUAAAUAUUAAAGCAUAAAAUUUGCA